rnacentral:rRNA from 1 species
GACGAACGCUGGCGGCGUGCCUAACACAUGCAAGUCGAACGGAGAUGAUGGGAUAGCUUGCUAUUUAAUCAUCUUAGUGGCGGACGGGUGAGUAACACGUGGGCAACCUGCCCCAAAGAGGGGGAUAACACCGAGAAAUCGGUGCUAAUACCGCAUAAUAUUAGAGCUUCGCAUGGAGCUUUAAUCAAAGGAGCAAUCCGCUUUGGGAUGGGCCCGCGUCUGAUUAGCUAGUUGGUGAGGUAACGGCUCACCAAGGCGACGAUCAGUAGCCGAUCUGAGAGGAUGACCGGCCACACUGGAACUGAGACACGGUCCAGACUCCUACGGGAGGCAGCAGUGGGGAAUAUUGCACAAUGGGGGAAACCCUGAUGCAGCAACGCCGCGUGGAGGAAGAAGGUCUUCGGAUUGUAAACUCCUGUCUUCUGGGACGAAUAAUGACGGUACCAGAGGAGGAAGCCACGGCUAACUACGUGCCAGCAGCCGCGGU